GAUGAACGCUGACAGAAUGCUUAACACAUGCAAGUCAACUUGAAUUUGGGUUUUUAACUUCGGUUUGGGUGGCGGACGGGUGAGUAACGCGUAAAGACCUUGCCUCACAGCUAGGGACAACAUUUGGAAACGAAUACUAAUACCUAAUAUUAUAAUAAUAGUGCAUCCUAUAAUUAUGAAAGCUAUAAGCGCUGUGAGAGAGCUUUGCGUCACAUUAGCUAGCUGGAGAGGUAACGGCUCACCAAGGAGAUGAUGGGUAGCCGGCCUGAGAGGGUGAUCGGCCACAAGGGGACUGAGACACGGCCCGUACUCAAACGGGAGGCAGCAGUGCGGAAUAUUGGAAAAUGGACCAAGAGUCUGAUGCAGCAAUUCUGUGUGCACGAUGAAGUUUUUCGGAAUGUAAAGUGCUUUCAGUUGGGAAGAAAGAAAUGACGGUACCAAAAGAAGAAGUGACGGCUAAAUACGUG
rnacentral:rRNA from 1 species